rnacentral:rRNA from 1 species
AUGAACGCUGGCGGCGUGCCUAAUACAUGCAAGUCGAGCGAACAGACGAGGAGCUUGCUCCUUUGACGUUAGCGGCGGACGGGUGAGUAACACGUAGGUAACCUACCUAUAAGACUGGGAUAACUUCGGGAAACCGGAGCUAAUACCGGAUAAUAUUUCGAACCGCAUGGUUCGAUAGUGAAAGAUGGCUUUGCUAUCACUUAUAGAUGGACCUGCGCCGUAUUAGCUAGUUGGUAAGGUAACGGCUUACCAAGGCAACGGUACGUAGCCGACCUGAGAGGGUGAUCGGCCACACUGGAACUGAGACACGGUCCAGACUCCUACGGGAGGCAGCAGUAGGGAAUCUUCCGCAAUGGGCGAAAGCCUGACGGAGCAACGCCGCGUGAGUGAUGAAGGUCUUCGGAUCGUAAAACUCUGUUAUUAGGGAAGAACAAACGUGUAAGUAACUGUGCACGUCUUGACGGUACCUAAUCAGAAAGCCACGGCUAACUACGUG